CCUUUUUAUUCCUUACAUGACUUCUAUUUGAAACUGAAUAUUAGCUAACGUGCUGCCGCGGCUUUUGUCAGUGUUUAAAAACAUCAUCUGCGCUUGCUUCGACUAUUGAUUAGCCUACCCUUGUGAUGUUCCGAUUGCUAAGAUUAGUAUCUGCUAACAUAGAAGUUUACUGCUGUAAGCAAGUUUUUAUGCUAUGCAUAAAAUGCAUGGAAGAUGAAUUCGAGCUUUUUUUCUACUCUCCUCCCUUUGGUGUUUCACUACCUGCAAGUGAUGUACGGAGAGGAAAAUAUAAACAGGAUUGGUGUCCUCGUCGACCGAUGACAAUGACGUGCGCUCAUCAUCCCAAGAUGAAACCUGAAUGCAUAACGUCCUCUGAACCAAGCUCCCAACGGACCCAAUUGAAUCGGAUCCGCUCAGCGUCGCUGACUCCUCAGACGAAUGUUCGGCAGACGUA